UACGUAGGCAGCAAGCGUUGUUCGGAGUUACUGGGCGUAAAGGGUGCGUAGGUGGCGCGGGCAGUCAACGGUGAAAGUUCGGGGCUCAACCCUGAAUCGGCCGUCGAUACUCCCGUGCUUGAGCACUGUAGAGGCAGAUGGAAUUCCGGGUGUAGCGGUGGAAUGCGUAGAGAUCCGGAAGAACACCGGUGGCGAAGGCGGUCUGCUGGGCAGUAGCUGACACUGAGGCGCGACAGCGUGGGGAGCAAACAGG
rnacentral:rRNA from 1 species